UCCUCUAGUUGUCCUCAGUGUGGUCC
rnacentral:piRNA from 1 species